rnacentral:snRNA from 1 species
GCACCAGUUUCAGCAGCACAUAUUUUAAAAUUGGAACAACGCAGAGAAGAUUAGCACGUCCCUGCACAAGGAUGACAUGCAGAUUCAUGAACUGUUCUAUAUUAAA